ACCUCAAAAAAAAAAAAAAAAAAAAAAAAAAAAAAAAAAAAGUUCUGCGUUUCUUGACUAAGGGGGUGUAUUCAAUUAAAGAUUGAGGAGGGUUUGGUGGAAUUUAGGAAAUUUUGGAUUUAGAGUGAUUUAAGUGAGUUUAUAGGAUACUUUUGGUGGAAUUGUUAUUUUUAUUUUAAAAAAGGAAAGAUAAUUUGUGAUUUGAUGAGCUUUUAAAGAGAUAAUAUAUAGGUGAUUUGGUGAGAUUU
rnacentral:lncRNA from 1 species